rnacentral:rRNA from 1 species
AACGAAGCGGCGGACGGGUGAGUAAUGCCUGGGGAUCUGCCCAGUCGAGGGGGAUAACUACUGGAAACGGUAGCUAAUACCGCAUACGCCCUACGGGGGAAAGCAGGGGACCUUCGGGCCUUGCGCGAUUGGAUGAACCCAGGUGGGAUUAGCUAGUUGGUGAGGUAAUGGCUCACCAAGGCGACGAUCCCUAGCUGGUCUGAGAGGAUGAUCAGCCACACUGGAACUGAGACACGGUCCAGACUCCUACGGGAGGCAGCAGUGGGGAAUAUUGCACAAUGGGGGAAACCCUGAUGCAGCCAUGCCGCGUGUGUGAANAA